UACGAGGGGUGCAAGCGUUGCUCGGAAUUAUUGGGCGUAAAGGGUAGGUAGGUGGUCUCAUUUGUCUGGGGUGAAAGCCUUGAGCUUAACUCAAGAAGUGCCUCGGAAACGGUGAGACUAGAGUUCUGGAGAGGGUCGUGGAAUUCCCGGUGUAGCGGUGAAAUGCGUAGAGAUCGGGAGGAACACCAGAGGCGAAGGCGGCGACCUGGACAGAUACUGACACUAAACUACGAAAGCGUGGGGAGCAAACAGG
rnacentral:misc_RNA from 1 species